CCUACGGGAGGCAGCAGUCGAGAAUCUUUCACAAUGGGCGCAACCCUGAUCCUGCGACGCCGCGUGGGGGAAUGAAGCUCUUCGGUUUGUAAACCCCUGUCCUGUGGGAGCAAAUUAAACAGCUAGUACCACAAGAGGAAGAGCCGGCUAACUAUGUGCAGGCAGCCGCGGUACUAGAGAGGGCUCAAGCGCUGUUCGGACUAGCUGGGCUUAAAGCGUUCGUAGGCAGGUGCGUCAGUCGUGUGGUAAAGACGCGGGCUCAACCCGCGGACGGCAAAUGAUUCUGGGAGACUAGAGUAGUGGAGGGGUAACCGGAAUGCGCGGUGUAGCGGUGAAAUGCGUAGAUAUCGAGAGGAACACUGGUGGCGAAGGCGGGAUCCUGGACAUUAACUGACGCUGAGGCACGAAGGCGAAGGGAGCGAAAGGGAUUAGAUACCCUAGUAGUC
rnacentral:rRNA from 1 species